rnacentral:rRNA from 1 species
GAACGUACGCUGGCGGCACGCCUAACACAUGCAAGUCGAACGAAGUAGCAAUACUUAGUGGCAGACGGGUGAGUAACAUGUAGGUAUCUGCCCUUUGGCCUGGAAUAACACGAGGAAACUUGUGCUAAUACCGGAUAAGUCUUUACGGAGAAAGCUUUAUGCACCAUUGGAUGAGCCUGCACUUGAUUAGUUUGUUGGUGGGGUAAUGGCCUACCAAGACUGUGAUCAAUAGCUGAUUUGAGAGGAUGAUCAGCCACAUUGGGACUGAGACACGGCCCAAACUCCUACGGGAGGCAGCAGUGGGGAAUCUUGCACAAUGGAGGAAACUCUGAUGCAGCGAUGCCGCGUGAGUGAAGAAGGCCCUUGGGUUGUAAAGCUCUUUCGUCGGGGAAGAAAAUGACUGUACCCGAAUAAGAAGGUCCGGCUAACUUCGUGCCAGCAGCCGCGGUAAUACGAAGGGACCUAGCGUAGUUCGGAAUUACUGGGCUUAAAGAGUUCGUAGGUGGUUGAAAAAGUUAGUGGUGAAAUCCCAGAGCUUAACUCUGGAACUGCCAUUAAAACUUUUCAGCUAGAGUAUGAUAGAGGAAAGCAGAAUUUCUAGUGUAGAGGUGAAAUUCGUAGAUAUUAGAAAGAAUACCAAUUGCGAAGGCAGCUUUCUGGAUCAUUACUGACACUGAGGAACGAAAGCAUGGGUAGCGAAGAGGAUUAGAUACCCUCGUAGUCCAUGCCGUAAACGAUGUGUGUUAGACGUUGGAAAUUUAUUUUCAGUGUCGCAGGGAAACCGAUAAACACACCGCCUGGGGAGUACGACCGCAAGGUUAAAACUCAAAUGAAUUGACGGGGACCCGCACAAGUAGUGGAGCAUGUGGUUUAAUUCGAAGAUACGCGCAGAACCUUACCAACACUUGACAUGUUCGUCGCGACUCUAAGAGAUUAGAGUUUUCGGUUCGGCCGGACGAAACACAGGUGCUGCAUGGCUGUCGUCAGCUCGUGUCGUGAGAUGUUGGGUUAAGUCCCGCAACGAGCGCAACCCUCACUUUUAGUUGCCAUCAUUAAGUUGGGCACUCUGAAAGAACUGCCAGUGAUAAGCUGGAGGAAGGUGGGGAUGACGUCAAGUCCUCAUGGCCCUUACGUGUUGGGCUACACACGUGCUACAAUGGUAUCUACAACAGGAAGCAAGACUGCGAAGUUAAGCAAAUCCCUAAAAGAUACCUCAGUUCGGAUUGCACUCUGCAACUCGAGUGCAUGAAGCUGGAAUUACUAGUAAUCGUGGAUCAGCGUGCCACGGUGAAUGCGUUCCCGGGUCUUGCACUCACCGC